CAAAGGCAAGAGACAAGAAUCAGAUAUUCAAAACUUUCCAGGCUCCUAUUUGCAGCGUCAGUUUUUAUUCGAGCAUAAGACUUUUCCAGCAGACUCUUCCCUACACCUGCUUUUAAGCUCCUGCUUUCCUCAGUCACUUUCCUGCCUGUCCUGUUCCAGAGUUUCUCCCCAACAGAGCUGCAGCCUUCCCAAGGCUCAACCAUGUUCCUGGCGCUCCUCCCAGUGCUGGGGAUAAACUUUCUUCUGAGAGUUGCCCAAGCUCAGUCAGUGACUCAACCUGAUGCUAAUGUCACUGUCUCUGAAGAAGCCUCUCUGCAGCUGAAAUGCAAGUAUUCCACCCCUGGGGCGCCUUCCCUGUUCUGGUAUGUCCAGUACCCACAGCAAGGACUGAAGAUGCUCCUCAAGUACUAUUCAGGAGACCCCGUGGUUCAAGGAGAGAAUGGCUUUGAGGCUGAAUUCAGCAAGAGCAACUCUUCCUUCCACCUGCGGAAAGCCUCUGUGCACUGGAGCGACUCGGCUGUGUACUUCUGUGCUCUGAGCGCACAGUGUCUGGGGCUGCAGGGGGAGCUGAUCACAAACACCCAUGACCGUGGGUGCUCAGACACAAGAUCUCUCCUUGUGCUCUCUGAAGCGUCUCUUUCAACUUGGCGAGGAAAGAAGGGAAGUUGUGCUGUCCCAGCUGCCUUUCUGCAACUCAUUUCCAGCUAA